GACGAACGCUGGCGGCGUGCCUAACACAUGCAAGUCGAACGGAAAGGCCCUGCUUUUGUGGGGUGCUCGAGUGGCGAACGGGUGAGUAACACGUGAGUAUCCUGCCCUUGACUUUGGGAUAACUUCAGGAAACUGGGGAUAAUACCGGAUAGGAGCUCCUGAUGCAUGGUGGGGGUUGGAAAGUUUCGGCGGUUGGGGAUGGACUCGCGGCUUAUCGGCUUGUUGGUGGGGUAGUGGCUUACCCAGUCUUCGACGGAUAGCCGGCCUGGGAGGGGGGCCAGGCACAUGGGGACUGAGGGACGGACCAGACGCCUACGGUAGGCAGCAGGGGGGAGUAUGACACAGUGGGCGGAAGCCUGAGACAACAGCCCCGGGUGCGGAAUGCCGGCCUUCGGGUGAUAAACCGCUGUCGCCUGUGACGAAGCGGGAUUGACGGUAAUGGGUAAAGAAGCACCGGCUAACUACGUG
rnacentral:rRNA from 1 species